GACGAACGCUGGCGGCGUGCUUAACACAUGCAAGUCGAGCGGUAAGGCCCUUUCGGGGGUACGACGAGCGGCGAACGGGUGAGUAACACGUGGGUGACCUGCCCUCAGCUCUGGGAUAAGCCUGGGAAACCGGGUCUAAUACUGGAUAUGACUCCAUGACGCAUGUUGGUGGGGUGGAAAGCCUUGUGCGGCUGAGGAUGGGCCCGCGGCCUAUCAGCUUGUUGGUGGGGUGANGGCCUACCAAGGCGACGACGGGUAGCCGGCCUGAGAGGGCGACCGGCC
rnacentral:rRNA from 1 species